AGGAGGAAGGAAGAUUCCUUCUCUGAAUAAGGUGUUUGCUAUUUUGGCCAGGAGUGACUCUUUCUUUUUUUUUCACAGCCAUUAAGGGCGUUGGUUGGAUUCACAAGUCUUGGAUCAGGAUUCCUCUAGGGUGUCCAGAACUUCUUGAUGAGUGAAUGUAUUCAGCUCAUGGAAUGCAAGUGAGCUGUCAGUUGGGAAGACAGCUAUAAGAAUGAAUCCAAUUUGGCAAGUGUCUAUUACAGCAUGGGUGUUUCCUCUCUCGACUAAACGCAGACUGGGUCUGUGGAUUUCCCGUUGUCGAACACAAUGACCCCAUGCUUUGAGGUGAAUUGGCCUAUACCUACUGGACUACUUAACAUUUCUUUGCCAUUCAAAUACAAGAGAAUUGGC